rnacentral:rRNA from 1 species
CAGGCCUAACACAUGCAAGUCGUGCGGACUUAUCUUCGGAUAAGUUAGCGGCGGACGGGUGAGUAACACGUGGGCAACCUGCCUGUAAGACUGGGAUAACUCCGGGAAACCGGUGCUAAUACCAGAUACAAUCAAAGACUGCCUGGUUUUUGAUAGAAAGGUCUUGUACCGCUUACAGAUGGGCCCGCGGCGCAUUAGCUAGUUGGUGGGGUAAUGGCUCACCAAGGCGACGAUGCGUAGCCGACCUGAGAGGGUGAUCGGCCACACUGGAACUGAGACACGGUCCAGACUCCUACGGGAGGCAGCAGUGGGGAAUAUUGCACAAUGGAGGAAACUCUGAUGCAGCGACGCCGCGUGAACGAUGAAGGCCUUCGGGUCGUAAAGUUCUGUCCUAGGGGACGAUAAUGACGGUACCCUAGGAGGAAGCCCCGGCUAACUACGUGCCAGCAGCCGCGGUAAUACGUAGGGGGCAAGCGUUGUCCGGAAUUAUUGGGCGUAAAGCGCGCGCAGGCGGUCCUUUAAGUCUGAUGUGAAAGCCCACGGCUCAACCGUGGAGUGCCAUUGGAAACUGGGGGACUUGAGUGCAGUAGAGGAGAGUGGAAUUCCUGGUGUAGCGGUGAAAUGCGUAGAGAUCAGGAGGAACAUCAAUGGCGAAGGCAGCUCUCUGGACUGUAACUGACGCUGAGGCGCGAAAGCGUGGGUAGCAAACAGGAUUAGAUACCCUGGUAGUCCACGCCGUAAACGAUGAGUGCUAGGUGUUAGGGGGUCCAACCCUUAGUGCCGAAGUUAACACAUUAAGCACUCCGCCUGGGGAGUACGGUCGCAAGACUGAAACUCAAAGGAAUUGACGGGGGCCCGCACAAGCGGUGGAGCAUGUGGUUUAAUUCGAAGCAACGCGAAGAACCUUACCAGGUCUUGACAUCCCGUUGGUCGCUCUAGAGAUAGAGUUUACCCUUCGGGGACAACGGUGACAGGUGGUGCAUGGUUGUCGUCAGCUCGUGUCGUGAGAUGUUGGGUUAAGUCCCGCAACGAGCGCAACCCUUGAUAGUAGUUGCCAUCAUUUAGUUGGGCACUCUACUGUGACUGCCGCAGACAAUGCGGAGGAAGGUGGGGAUGACGUCAAAUCAUCAUGCCCCUUAUGACCUGGGCUACACACGUGCUACAAUGGAUGGUACAACGGGCAGCGAAGCAGUGAUGUGGAGCGAAUCCCAAAAAGCCAUUCUCAGUUCGGAUUGCAGGCUGCAACUCGCCUGCAUGAAGCAGGAAUCGCUAGUAAUCGCGGAUCAGCAUGCCGCGGUGAAUACGUUCCCGGGCCUUGUACACACCGCCC